ensembl:lncRNA
AGAGUUGGAGGAGGAAGACCACAAUCCAGCUGGACCCACUGGAGGAGAAAUUGUUGGGGGCGAUUGCCGAAACGUUAGUUGAAGGAGUAGAUGGAGGAGUGGACACCGGAGAACCGGGAGAAGACGAAAGCCUGCAAGCAGGAGAUUCUUUGGUCGUAAUAGCAGUCAACCAGGAUGCAGAACAAUCCCACGCAUUCAAUGCAGCUGAACCAACACAAGCCCUCACAAAUCAUCAAAACGGUCGGAUGGAACGGCAGGCAGAACAUCCCCAAAAUUAAAUUCAAAAUGAUUUGAAAUAAAAAUAAAUUGAUAUUUGUUAAC